GCCUAUCUAGCUCAGUCGAUAGAACACAAGGUUUUCAACCUUAAGGUCGUGGGUUCUAGUCCCACAUUUUACG
rnacentral:tRNA from 7 species